rnacentral:rRNA from 1 species
GACGAACGCUGGCGGCGUGCUUAACACAUGCAAGUCGAACGGUAAGGCCCUUCGGGGUACACGAGUGGCGAACGGGUGAGUAACACGUGGGUGAUCUGCCCUGCACUUCGGGAUAAGCCUGGGAAACUGGGUCUAAUACCGGAUAGGACUCCUGGCUUCAUGGUUGGGGGUGGAAAGCUUUUGCGGUGUGGGAUGGGCCCGCGGCCUAUCAGCUUGUUGGUGGGGUAAUGGCCUACCAAGGCGACGACGGGUAGCCGGCCUGAGAGGGUGACCGGUCACACUGGGACUGAGAUACGGCCCAGACACCUACGGGAGGCAGCAGUGGGGAAUAUUGCACAAUGGGCGCAAGCCUGAUGCAGCGACGCCGCGUGAGGGAUGACGGCCUUCGGGUUGUAAACCUCUUUCAGCACCGACGAAGCGCAAGUGACGGUAGGUGCAGAAGAAGGACCGGCCAACUACGUGCCAGCAGCCGCCGUAA